rnacentral:rRNA from 1 species
UACAGAGGGUGCGAGCGUUGUCCGGAAUCAUUGGGCGUAAAGAGCGUGUAGGCGGCUCGAUAAGUCCGCUGUGAAAGUCCAGGGCUCAACCCUGGAAGGCCGGUGGAAACUGUCGGGCUAGAGUCCGGAAGAGGCGAGUGGAAUUCCCGGUGUAGCGGUGAAAUGCGCAGAUAUCAGGAGGAACACCGGUGGCGAAGGCGGGGUCUCUGGGCCGAUACUGACGCUGAGGAGCGAAAGCCAGGGGAGCAAACGGG